GCCCAGGUGUUGGAACUGGUAGACAAGCAUGGUUGAGGGCCAUGUGCUCGUACGAGCGUGCAGGUUCAAGUCCUGUUCUGGGCA
rnacentral:tRNA from 1 species